rnacentral:lncRNA from 1 species
AACUGGAUUUGGAACCAUAUGCCAGAGGGCAGGAGGGCCCAUACUAUGAAAUAGGCUACAAAUAAGUAAACAUAAUUCUAAAUGGGGUUAAAAUAAUUUGUGAAAAUUAAGCUGCUAUAUAUAUUUUAUAAGUGCAUUGUCUUAUGGAAGUGUCUCUCCUGGAGUGGAUUUUAUAUGGGUGUUAUGUGUUCAUGUUGGUUAAUGAAAGGUUUAGUAUAGUCACUGUAACAGAUUUGGCAUUGGAGCCAUGGGUGGCAGGUAGGGCAGGGAUAGAAAUUAAGAAGAAAGAAAAACAUGUUGACAUUGAUAAUAUUCAUGGUGCAUUAUAAACCUACUUUAAAAACUUCAAUAUGUAAACUUCAGGUACAAUGAGGUAAUAAUGUUGCUUUGAGUUUUUCUUUUCCAUGUAGGUAAAAUAGUAAUUUGAGAAAUAAAUGAAGAAAAUUUAAUAAAAUAGUAAUGUUUUUCAUCCUUGCAUCUGAGUUCUCAUCAUAGUUUUAUGUUCAUGUUUAGUCUUUUAAAAAAAAUUUGUUCUUCUCAGUUUAUCAUUUGACUUCUAUAGAUGUCUUUUAGGCAUCAUUUUUUUUUCUAGAUUAUAAAACUUAUAAUAUUGUUUAUAUUUUUAGGAAUUGGUAAAUUCCUGAAUUAUAGUUAUUAAAAUACUUUUACAUAACAAUAAAUUCACAAUAAUGUUGAUUAAUAAAAGGUUCUGGAAAGGAUAUCUUCACAUGAAUUUUUCAUUUUCACAAGUUGAUGAGUUAGUAAAUAAUUCAUUUUCAUACUAUAUAUAAAACAAAAAUCCUAAUACUCAUUAGGUACUAAAUUCAAGUGGAAAUUUACUAAGCUUAUUUGAAUCUCACAAUAAUCUUGACCUUCCCUCUUUUUCUCUUCCCCUCCAACAAAUAUACUAAGUUGCUUCCCAAUAAGACUUCUGCCUAUUGGUAAUGUCUGCUGAACUUUCUACAGUUUGUUCCUUCUUGUCAUUCAAUCAUCAGGUUAAAUAUCAUCUCAGUGAUAACUUCUGUAGCCUCACAAACUAAAGUAGCCCGUCUCUGUCUUAAUGCC